rnacentral:misc_RNA from 1 species
UCGGCAGUGUAUCUAAUUGCAGGUAUUAUGGUUGCAUACGCUGCUCCGAUGAGACAUGGAUGCUUGAAGGUUGUUGAGAAUAACUAUUGUGCUUCCAGAAGGGGUGGAGUGCGCUGUCUAUCCAUUCUCAAUGUUGCUUUUGCUAUCGUAUUUGGUCUGCUUGCACUGUUUCUUGGUUCAACCCUUCUCACAUUAGGGAGCAGCUGCUCAGCACCCUUGUUUUGGUGUUACGAGGUUGCUUCAUGGGGGCUGGUGAUUCUAUAUGGAGGGACUGCUUUCUUUCUAAGAAGAAAAGCUGCUGUAAUUCUUGAUGAAAGUGACUUCAGUGGGCGCAAUCUUGGAGUAGAAAUGCUUGAAGCAAAUCCAAUGGAGGUCACACCAGAUGUAGAGAGACGUGUGAAUGAAAGUUUCAAGGCAUGGAUGGGUCCUUCUUUCUUGUCCUCGGAUGAGGAGGAUGAAUCUGAUAACUACCAGGAAGUUCCAGCUUUAUCUCGUACCAACUCUAGCCGGCUAAGACAAUAAUAUGAACUUUCCUCCUGUUGGAUUCCUCGAGCAGUGAAUGAAAUAUUGUGGAAGGUCUUAACUUGUGAUAUCUUACCCAAUCACUUGCAUGGCAAAACUUUUGAAUUGCACAUGAGUGCUGCAGCAUCGGUUCAUUUUGGUAGAGUUUCAGGUUUUGUAUAGUUAGUUUGAGGGAACAUUGAUUUUCUUGGUGGUGGAAGGCUGGUAGAGUGGGAAGGGAUCUCUCAGUAAUUGAUUUGGAGUAGACUGACUAAUGCACGAUUCGUGGUAUUCUUAUGAGCGUUGCUUAGUUGUUGAUACUGAAUUUUGG